UUGGACCAGUGCGAGAGGUGCGACGGCCCGGGGCCCAGACUAAAAGGGGGCCCAUAGUAUAUAUGCAGUAUAUAUAUUAUAUAUUACGGAUUAGUGAAAAAAAAGAAUGACUAACGUCCAGCCCAGGUAGCUCUGAGCCCACCCAGCAAGCAGCACGCAACCACCACUAGGGCCUGUCGUUCGCCUGGAAUCCAGGGAGACGCACUGACACAGGAGCACGGAGACGCAUCGACACAGCAGCACGCCGCCUGACGCCGACACCAGCGCACCGCACCAAACCUGGAGCUGAGUUUGGGGAUCAAAUCAGCAAGAAUUCGGGGAAGAGAUCAACUGAUCAAGAUCAUCAUUCAGAAGCAUAAUCAUGUUACCUAAAAAACAUCUAUCUGGCUGUGAGAAAAGAAACAACAAGAAAAGAGUAGACAAGUUGAUUAAAUCUCAGGAAGGCGCUAUGGAUAUGUUUGUCUUGAGGACCGGUGCUGCUACAAAUUCAGAGCAAUUAUAUAUCACAAAUGGUGAAGAAAAACCUGAUGAUACUAAGAAUGCCGUUGAGGAAAAUCAUGUCGAGAAAAAUAAUGCUGCGGAAAAUGAUGCCGAUCAGCACACGGAAAAUUUUAGUGACCAUGAGAAUCUUGGAAAUGCAGAUGAGCAGGGUUCUUCUUUUGAUAUAUAUGAUCCUAGAACUUGGAAUAUUCUUGACAAUAAAUCAAGAGAUAUUCUCAUUGAAAAAGGACCUAUAAGGGAAUACAAUCUUGUGUUUCCCGAAGAUGAAAUUAGUGGCAGGCAUUUUUCA